UCGUAACAAGGUUUCCGUAGGUGAACCUGCGGAAGGAUCAUUACCGAGUGCGGGUCCGCGUGGCCCAACCUCCCACCCGUGCCUAUUGUACCCUGUUGCUUCGGCGGGCCCGCCAGCCUUCGGGCUGGCCGCCGGGGGGCGUCUCGCCCCCGGGCCCGUGCCCGCCGGAGACCCCAACAUGAACCCUGUUCUGAAAGCUUGGUGUCUGAGUGUGAUUGUUUGCAAUCAGUUAAAACUUUCAACAAUGGAUCUCUUGGUUCCGGCAUCGAUGAAGAACGCAGCGAAAUGCGAUAACUAAUGUGAAUUGCAGAAUUCAGUGAAUCAUCGAGUCUUUGAACGCACAUUGCGCCCCCUGGUAUUCCGGGGGGCAUGCCUGUCCGAGCGUCAUUGCUGCCCUCAAGCCCGGCUUGUGUGUUGGGCCCUCGUCCCCCGGCUCCGGGGGACGGGCCCGAAAGGCAGCGGCGGCACCGCGUCCGGUCCUCGAGCGUAUGGGGCUUUGUCUUCCGCUCUGUAGGCCCGGCCGGCGCCCGCCGACGCACCUCAACUAUUUUUUUCCAGGUUGACCUCGGAUCAGGUAGGGAUACCCGCUGAACUUAAGCAUAUCAAUAA
rnacentral:misc_RNA from 1 species